UGGGGAAUUUUGGACAAUGGGGGCAACCCUGAUCCAGCAAUGCCGCGUGUGUGAAGAAGGCCUUCGGGUUGUAAAGCACUUUUGUCCGGGAAGAAAUCGCACCUGAUAAUACCGGGUGUGGAUGACGGUACCGGAAGGAUAAGGACCGGCUAACUACGUGCCAGCAGCCGCGGUAAUACGUAGGGUCCAAGCGUUAAUCGGAAUUACUGGGCGUAAAGCGUGCGCAGGCGGUUGUGCAAGACCGAUGUGAAAUCCCCGGGCUUAACCUGGGAAUUGCAUUGGUGACUGCACGGCUAGAGUGUGUCAGAGGGGGGUAGAAUUCCACGUGUAGCAGUGAAAUGCGUAGAGAUGUGGAGGAAUACCGAUGGCGAAGGCAGCCCCCUGGGAUAACACUGACGCUCAUGCACGAAAGCGUGGGGAGCAAACAGG
rnacentral:rRNA from 1 species